rnacentral:rRNA from 1 species
AGUGAACGCUGGCGGUAGGCCUAACACAUGCAAGUCGAACGGCAGCACAGUAAGAGCUUGCUCUUACGGGUGGCGAGUGGCGGACGGGUGAGGGAUACAUCGGAAUCUACUUUUUCGUGGGGGAUAACGUAGGGAAACUUACGCUAAUACCGCAUACGACCUACGGGUGAAAGCAGGGGAUCUUCGGACCUUGCGCGAUUGAAUGAGCCGAUGUCGGAUUAGCUAGUUGGCGGGGUAAAGGCCCACCAAGGCGACGAUCCGUAGCUGGUCUGAGAGGAUGAUCAGCCACACUGGAACUGAGACACGGUCCAGACUCCUACGGGAGGCAGCAGUGGGGAAUAUUGGACAAUGGGCGCAAGCCUGAUCCAGCCAUACCGCGUGGGUGAAGAAGGCCUUCGGGUUGUAAAGCCCUUUUGUUGGGAAAGAAAAGCAGCAGGUUAAUACCCCGCUGUUCUGACGGUACCCAAAGAAUAAGCACCGGCUAACGUCGUGC